AAGACUCGAAUGUUCUGUUAUGACUAAGUAGUCUUCUACCAAGACUCGAAUGUUCUGUAAGUAAUAUGAUAGCUUUUCCUUUCUAUUGACUAGUACUAGAGUACUUAGUCUAACUCAUCGUUUAUGUGAAAGUAUCACAAAAUAAAGUAAACAGGAAAAAUAUAAUCAUGUAAGUGUUAUUAUCUUGGGUUACCAGGACAAACAUGACAUCACCGAAGAGAAAGAUAGACCCUAUGGACAUCCGAAGAGUGUCCCCUCAUCCUCUGUAGCGGCAGCAGGGUGGAGGGAGGGUUAGUCCCCGUAUCGAUCUCUUAAUAUAGAUCGUCAACCUAAUGAUCCUCCGAAGAUUCACAUCUCAUCUGCUGUUGCAACAGUGGACAAAGGGAUGGUUAGUCCCGUCACUGAUUACUAAAUAAGUGACAACCUUAGACAUCCGUAGACGUUCAUCGACCACUGGUACUAAUCAGUGGGAUUCGGAAUGGUAAGUCCCGCCGAAUUAUCCCAUUGAACUGGGGUAGGAAAGAUAAUUUACACAGUAAAUACUAAUAAAUCAUCCUCGUAGUUCUAAGUACAAGUAUCCAGGUAAGUAAAUACAGGAUAAUGCACCUAAGUAACAGUCUUCCUGUAUGGUAUUCAUGUAAGUGUGUUCAUGUAACAGGUAAGUAUAUGUAAACAUAUUCAUGUAUCAGGUAAUCCUAAGUAAGUGUACUCAUGUAUCAUGUAAGGUAUUGGUAUAGACUCAUGAAUGAACUGACUCUUGUGUGAUUCCUUGUAAUAGUAAUAAUGUUUGAUAUCUUCUGACUAUCCCUAUGAUAGCUAACUGGAAGGUAAUUGGUUGUUUACGUAGGUUUAUGCACUCUUGCUACCCAAGAGUAUUGGAAACUAAAUGAAGGGUGAAAACUAUAAUCUCUAACAUAUAUAUGAACAUAUGCGCAUAAGUAUAGUUUGAUUCAAGAAGGUAAAAUAAUGGUUUUGCAAGAUAUCUAGGAGUUUUGAACAAUAAUUUAGAGUGACUUGAUGUCAUUAAACAUUUCAAAACUAAUACUUUUGUUAUCAAGGUAUUUUAAGAUAGAAAACCAUUUCAUGUGACACCUUUUGAAAUAUGUGAAAUCUACUGAGUGAAAAGACAAUUAUAAAAUACAUAAGAUUGAUUUAAUAACAUAUUGUUUUCUACUUGUAUCCCCCCCAUUAAAGCAUUUAAAAUCCUUUAAAACAUUGAUUAAGGGGUAUAAACUCACCUGUAGUUGGUGAUUGGGAUGAACUGAACGGUAUAGGAUGGCUAGGUGUCAAGCGAGGACUUGUGCACACACUACGAUCCUAAUGAACAUAUAAUCACACAUAUAUGCACUCAAUUAGACUCAAAUGACUAAUUGAUAAUGUUUAAGACAUCCUAGACAUAGUUAACACUUUAUAUAAGUGUUUUAAGCCGUAAGGAUUUCAUCUAAGCUAUUGUGGGACAGGGUAUUUGUGUUUAGGGUUUCCAAAGGACCCUAUAUGAGAGUUUACUCUCCAUAAACCAUCACACAUGGAGUUUACGGUUGUAAACUCUUGAGUUUACGGCCGUAAACUCCCAAACAUGUGUGUUUGGUGUGUUUUGAAGUCCCAAAUGCUUUCUAGAAUUAUUCUAACUUAGUGGCUAAGUCCUUGGAAGGGUUUAAGGUCUAGAAGUACUCCAAAUAGGAGUUUACGGCCUCAAGGCCAUUCCCCUUGGAGUUUACGGCCGUAAACUCCCUNGUACAAAUGAUCGAGUCGUUAUGUGAACUUCCUAGUCGAUUGGUUCUCGCACUCCUAAGUGAAAUCGAGUUCUCGGUUGGUAUCCCAACGAACCUUCACUAACGGGCGACGGCGUUGCUUCGUCCGCUUGACCACUCGUUCGAGGGUCACUAUGGUUCUAAUAAGAAGGCAAGGAUCUCGUAAAUCUCGAUCUCGUCGAGAGGGAUUACGAAAGUCCUAAUGGAAGGAUACUGUUUCAAGUUCGAGACGCGAAGGGGAAAAUGUAUGUUACUGAGUUCGCAGAGUAGGUCUAGUUUGUAAAAUACAGGACCGAUUCUGGUAAGAAUCUCGGAGGUCCUAACUAUAUUGGAUUUUAGCUUUCCACUCUUUACGAAGCGUAUUAAGCCGUUCCCAGAGUGAGGUUUCCUAAAGAAUUUGGUCUCUCACUUGGAAUUCCAAAGGUUCUUUCUCUCGCUUACUUUCCAGUCAAGGGCCAUCCCUUGCUGGGCCAAAGUCGAAAGGAUACCUGAAGUUUACUGGGAGUUCCGAAUGGACUAUGAUAGUAGGUCUGUAAGACCUAGAAUUUGGCGAAUUUUCCGUUGGUGACUAUGGUGCCGACAAAUUCCCAACGGUUUUGGAUAAUUUGACAGAGUACUCAAGAAUUCCCACAACACUAAUAGUGUGUCUCAGGAAAUUUGACUCUAAAUUCCAAACUCUUGAUUAGAGAACUUUGCGAAAAGUAUCUCCGAGGGUAAUGUUUCUAUGGGUUCUUUCUUACUGCAAGGGUAGAUAAGUAAGCCAUUACAUGGAGAAAUGACGAACUGAUCCCAGUAAGAAAGGCGUACUCCACUCAUUUAGGUCAUGAAUAUUUACAUGGAGAAAUACGGACUCGAAGUGUCUGUAUCGAGUUCCGAAGGUAGUCCUUUAGGACAUCCUUCCCUAACACUCGAACUGGUGAUAUUCGGAUUUCAGGUCCAUUUCUGAAAGUAAUACUUUCCUUGUGGUUGCUCAAUCGGUUCUUCUAAGCAAGGCAGAGAUAACGAUUUCUAAAGGAAAUCUAAACGAAGUCUCUGGCCGUCGAGGUACAUAUGAUGCACUCCGUCGACUUCUGUUAAGAAUAAGAUCGGAGAUCUCAAGGGUGAGAAGCCUGGUCUUCUAAUUCUAUGGUUGAGUAGUUCGUUGUGUUGUCCGGGUUGUUCUUGUAUCUUCCGUAGGUGUUUAGACUGAAGGUGAUCUGGUUAUAAGAGUCAAACUGGGUUCUAAGUUUGUUCCUAUGUCAAUGCAAUUACUCGUACUCCUGGACAGUCUCCGUCCUGAAGUUCAUAUUAGAAUUCAUAUGUGAUUCAAUGAUCACAAUUUCGUGUAUACGAGUCGUAUAUAAUUAAGACUGAAAAGGUAGUCGAAUAACUGAUUCUUCCUUAAUCUCACAUCCCAUCGAGGGAAAAGAAGUUAAAGUGGAAUCAUCAAUUCUAAACCUGUAGAACAUUGAUUAUAUAUCACUCUCAUGUAUACAUUCUUCAGUGAUAGAUCACCCGUAUGAAUCCUGGAAUUGAACUUGACGUACUGCAUGAGCAAUAAUGUGGGGAUUCCUUCGGAAAGAAAAAGAACUAUAAGGUACUCCUGGUAUGAGUACUUCGGUGUUCUGAUAUGACGGCUUCGCUAAAAGACGUUUACUGAGAAAGAGAUGUACUUAUGAAGCUGGUAUUGCGAGGAUUAAUUUACUCGAGUCGUAUGAUAAAGUCGGAAACAUAUGGAAACUAAAGACAUUACAUUUGAACAUAAGGCGUUACAGACAAAACACGACAGGGCAACCAUUAACAGAGUUACUAUACUUAGGAUUUAUUAUAAGACUAUUGCUGCGAAACAAGGUAUACUACAAAAGACAAGUAUACGCAGCACGAGAGUCCCUUAAUGGACGGAAUCUCGCAAAAGAUAAGCCUCUGGUUGCACUAGUUUUAAACAUGUUUUUGUACAUACUAAAUACUGACGAUUUGGAGGGAACCUAUACUAUAUUAGGUUCCUUAACUGCCUUUUCGCAUUCUGAGGACAAACUCAUCCGGAUUUACCGUUGUCCUUCUCCGAUGGACAGUCCCUCUUGAAGUGUCCUAUGACGCCACAUAGAUGGCAUAUCUGAGAGGUUUGGACAUUGGUGGUUGAAGAAAUGUGUUGGAUAUGGAUCCUGCAGUGACUAGCAGUAUGUCCAUUCCUAUUGCAGUGUGCGCACUACAUCUCCCUACAAGGUCCAUGGUGGUGAUAAUUGCAUUUGAUGCAUUUUGGGAAUUUUCCAGCAUAAUGUUUGGCUGGUUUGGGGACCACUGGGACGCCCGAAGGGAUGGUAGUAGAAGGUACUGAUGUGGUAUGUAGCACCCGGUUCCUGGUACGUAAAUGUUAUUUGAGUAUUUCUGUUUUUUUAGCCUUGCACUCGGCGAGUCAUAGGUCCGACUCGCCGAGUGGAUGCGGGACCUGGGACACGCUUAAGUUGGCGACUCGGCAAGUCCAUAUCAUGGACUCGGCGAGUCACAGCUGUUGGAUGAAACCCUAAGUUUCAGGGGUUUGCACCCUAUUUAAAGGACUUAUCCGCCCAGGCCAGCCCCCAUUCUCUCCCAAGAAGCUCCCAACCCUCGUUCUAAGCUUGUUCCUAGAGAGUUUGAGGCUAUUGUGUGUGUUCUUGAAGGUUUUGAGGAAGAAGGGGAAGUAAAUCAAGAGGAAGGAAAGGAAUCCAAGCAUCUUAUCACUCCUUCAGUAGUUCCUUUGAGGUAUAAUCCGUUUUUCCCCUGUCUUUAUGCUUAUUACUUCAUGUAAGUCACUCUUGAGCCAAACCCCAAGAUAGUAUGUGCAAAUUACUUCAUAAUAGGCUGAUUGGCCCUUAGAUCUAGACAAGAUUGAGCUCCAGGAGCUCAGAUCUGUUAGCUUUAUGGCCCCAUGUUGCUUGUUCACCCUAGAUCUACCCUUUUGAGGCGUUUUGAUCCCUAAAAUCCAUAUUGGUGAAUAUCCACACGUAAAGUUGGAAACUUUACGUGUGAUUCGUGUCCUAAAAGUCCAGAUCUGUGAAUGGCAUGGACUGGAAUCGAGCAAAUUUGUGUAUUUAGUAGGUGCAUGGCAACGACUCGGCGAGUCUUUCAUAUGACUCAGCGAGUCUGUUCGCGAGUCUCCGAGUUUGUCCCCUUUUCGUAGUGUCGAGUGAGAAGUGAGUCACGGGGUGUGACUCAGUGAGUCGGAAGCUGAACUCAUCUAUGGAGGUACUCGGCGAGUCAAUGCCCUGACUCGGCGAGUUCAAGGCAAUCUCCUUAGAUCAAGAACAGACUCGGCGAGUUGUUCAUACAACUCGGCGAGUCUUAGCAUAAGUGUUCAUCGGAUGAAGAUGAACUCGACGAGUUGUUCAUACAACUCGGCGAGUAGGAUGAAGGACUUGAAUAUCAGUUUAGAAGGAGAACUCGUCGAGUCGUCGCCUAACUCGACGAGUAGGAACGGGAUCCAGGACAAUCGUUUGGGUGGUGACUCGGCGAGUUGGAAAGCCAACUCGGCGAGUCGGGUCAACUGAAAGUUGACUCUGACUUUGACUUAGGGCAUGGUCAGGGGUAAAAUGGUCAUUUUACCCAAAGGUCAGUGAGCAGUGUUUGAUUGAGUAUGUUGUGGGAAUUGCAGCCGGAGGAUUUCCGGAGCAGCANACAACAGCAGUAGUAGGUGAUCAAUUCCCACACAGACCAGCAACUAUUUCGAAGUGAGUUUCCUUUCCAGUAGGAACGGGUCUAAGGCAUUAAGGCCGACCCGUGUAGACGAGAUGCUAGUACUAGAGUGUGGGCCGAGCCCGUAUCUCUGGGUUUAGUCAAGUGUGAUAUAUGUGUUAAUAUGAUAGAGUUGCUUAUACUUGUUGUCUGCGUGAUACUUGUAUGUUAUGGGUUAGCGGUUGAGUGUGGGCAGGGCCCGUAUCUCUCCGAGGUUGGAGUGUGGGCUAGGCCCGUAUCUCCCAGAUAGCGAAGUGUGGGCAGGGCCCGUAUCUUCACAAGUGUGGGCGAGGCCCGUAUCUCCCGGCUAGCGAAGUGUGGGCAGGGCCCGUAUCUUCCCGAGUGUGGGCAAGGCCCGUAACUCCUAGCUGAACAAUGGUUGUUAUAUGUUGCAUGGUAUGUGGUAUUAUGNCUUACAGUUUUCAGAUUUGGUUGCAGGUACCUCCUCAGCUAGGGGAAAGGAGCCGGCGCGGUAGCAGCAUGUCACACACGCACUCUCUGGUUUCCGCAUUUACGAGAUUCUCUGGGAUUGAUACUCUGAUAUUUUGAUUAGUUUUAUGUUAUGGUUUUCAGACAUGGUUCGCUUUAUGUUAUGGUUGAUCAAAAAAUGUUUUUAGUUAUUAAUAUCUUCUAAAGUAAUGUUUUUAAAACAAAAUUUUUGGUCGUGAAAAUUGGGUCGUUACAAGUUGGUAUCAGAGCCCUGAUUUGAGGGAUUCGGACACACCCUCAGGAGUGUCUGAACUCAAAGCGAGGGAUUAAAAGAUUUUCUAAAGGAAAAAUGUUUUCUAAAAUUGAGAAAAGAGUUUUGAGAAAGAACGAAGUGUGUGAUGUGCGCGACCGGCCGAGGUCAAUUAAGUAUCCCCAAAGUACCCAUACAAGUUUAUGUUAUGUUUAUCAGCUUUUGUAGAACAGCAUGCUAGAAUAGGACUAAGGAUCUAGGAGUGAUGCCUUAUGUGCCUGCUUAAUGUGUUUCAGUUGUAUGAGAACUUGCAUGCUAGUUAUUGAGUGGACAGUAAGUAGGAUAGCCUGAUUAGGUUAUGCCUGGUAGUAUGAGCUUAGCACUUUAUGCUAGCUCAGUUCCUGAAAGUAGAUAGAGUUAAUUGAGAUUGUUACCCUUAUCUGAAUGCUGCUUGCUUCGUGCUACGUGGGACUCUGAAUAAUGGGAGUUAGCCAUUAGGCGAAUGCGUCACGUCACAUGUGAUCAGGGUUGAAUAAUCUUAGAGUGCCGGAUUUGAUCCUACUGCGCAGCUCUUGUUUGAGUCCAACCGUUGUAGGGACGAGUCGGGUACUCGAAGGAUUAUCUGAGCCUCGUCACAUGUGAUGGUAUUCGGGUAAUGGCUAAUUGGCAUUACAAGGAGGCCUGCAGCAGCUGAGGACUGGUUAGAGUGGAAUUAGAGAUUUCCCUAGGGCAAGCCUAGGAUGAGUAUAGCAGUGAUCAGCAGUAGUGAAAGGGAUCUGGUGGAGUCGAGGCAUUCCUUGAAGAAGGUACGGAUAGAUGUGGAAGGUAGUAUGGGCCCGUACUACUGAAAGCAGAGGAUCCGUACCCGAACCAAGGAAGGCCAAGAUAAGACCAGGGAACUUGUAAGUAGUUGUGAUCCCUCAGGAAGUAUCAGUAUCACUAAUGAUUGUUGUGAUGUAUUGCAGAAUGGUGGUACUUCGAUCGAGGCCGGUAGAUGGCGGUUCAGGAGAGGGGUCAGGUUCGGGAUCAGGUUCCGAGCCGGUUGAUGAGGGACUACGCGAGUUCAUCGCGUCAGAGAUCACCAGAGGCAUCCUUGAGUCGACCCCCAUUCUCUUUGGGUCGAUCAAGGAAGGGAUCAUGGAGUUGAUGGAGGAUCGCCUUCGGGCAUUCAGGAGUGAUAUGGCAUCUAGCCAGUCAGGAUCUCGCACACUGUCCUUCAAGGACUUCAGGGGCAGUGGUGCGCCGGAUUUCCAUGGGGUGAAAGACCCCAUUGCUGCCAGGCGAUGGAUUGCAGACAUCGAGUCUGCCCAGUUGACUAGCUUCUGCCCCGAGGGGUCGAAGGUGAGGUAUGCAGCAGGGUGUUUACGGGACCGAGCCCGGGAUUGGUGGGAGUCAGUGGGUGACUCGUUGGGAGCCUCAGCUAUCGAGGCUAUGACCUGGUCGGACUUUGUGACCAGGUUCAGGGCAGAGUUUGCGCCGGCUGUCGAGCUUCAGCAGCUGGCCAGGGAGUUUCUAGACAUGAGACAGACGACGGAGACUGUGGCGGAGAUCACCGCCAAGUUCCGGGAGAGGGCUUUGUUGGUGCCCCAGUAUGCUGGUGACGAGGACAUGAGGAGGACUCGUUAUCAUGAUAUGCUACGAGCUGACAUCCGGGAGCAUGUUAGCUUUUCGGCUUGCCCUACCUUGGACUCUAUGAUUGCCAGGGCGAGGGAGAGGGAGAUAGAUUUGGAGCACAUCCGGAAACGGAAAUUAGAGGAGGGACAGGCAGGAGGGGCUUCGGGGAAGAAGCCCAAGGGAUCAGAUGUGGGGCCGAAAGGCCAACAGGGACGGGGACGCUGCAGGAAAUGCGGCAAGACGCACGAGGGAGCGUGCCGGUUGGGAUCAUCAGGCUGCUACAAGUGCGGCAAGUCUGGGCACUUUAGCAGGGAUUGCACUGCUCCGGCAGCAGUUAUUCAGACAUCGGAGUUGCUGUGUUUCCACUGCAACCAGAGGGGCCACAAGAAGGCCAAUUGCCCCCAGUUGACAGUUUCAGCGCCGGUGAAGGCGCCAGCUCCAGCGACCCUGCGGAUCACGGAUGGCCGGCAGGGCAAGGCAGAGGCUCCAGUGGUGAGGAGCCGAGCAUUUCAGCUGACUACCGAGGAGGCACGCGCCGCACCCGAUGUGGUGACGGGUAUGAUUCUUUCCCUCUAUCUUAUUUUUAUGAUGUUAUGUUAUUGAUAUGUGCUCUGUAUGUAUAUGUAUGCAUUAGGAUCGUUCCAUGUGAACGGCCUCCCAGUUCAGGUGUUAUUUGAUUCGGGUGCAUCCCGAUCAUUCGUUUCCCUUGCGCUUAGCAAGAAGUUUCAUGAGUCAUCAGGCGAGUUAGAUUGCCCUUUGGAGGUGGAGAUUGCUGAUGAUCGAUCGGUGCGAGCAUCGAUGGUAUUUCGAGAUUGCGUGCUGCGUUUGUUUGAGGAGCGCUACUUGGUAGAUUUGGUUCCCAUUCCGUUGCGUGGGAACAAGGUGAUUAUAGGCAUGGAUUGGCUGAGCCCUAAUGGGGCGGUGAUAGAUUGCGCGCAGCAGCUAGUGCGGGUCAGGACCCCAAGCGGGGGAGAGUUAGUGAUUCAUGGCGAGAGGCCGCAGUGUGGACCCACUGUAUGUUCAGCAGCGAGGGCUAGGCGCUAUCUUCAGCAGGGAUGCGCAGGAUAUGUCGCGUAUGUGAUGGAUACCCGGGAGGCGGGUAAGGCGACAGUGAGCGAGGUUCCGGUGGUUCGAGAUUUUGCAGAUGUUUUCCCGGAGGAGCUUCCUGGGAUACCUCCGGAGCGACAGGUGGAGUUCAGGAUUGACCUUGUUCCUGGUGCGGCUCCGAUAGCCAAGGCACCGUAUCGGUUGGCUCCUCCCGAGAUGCAGGAGUUGUCUACGCAGCUGCAGGAGCUGCUAGACAAGGGAUUUAUUCGUCCGAGCAGUUCGCCCUGGGGAGCCCCGAUUCUGUUUGUGAAGAAGAAGGACGGGUCGCAUCGGAUGUGUAUAGAUUAUCGGGAGCUGAACAAGGUAACGGUGAAGAACCGUUACCCGCUUCCGAGGAUUGAUGACCUCUUUGACCAGCUUCAGGGAGCAUCUUGGUUCUCCAAGAUUGAUUUGCGUUCGGGUUAUCAUCAGAUGAGGGUCAGGGAGGAGGAUAUGCAGAAGACCGCGUUUCGGACGCGCUAUGGCCAUUAUGAGUUUGUGGUGAUGCCGUUUGGGCUCACCAAUGCUCCUGCCGCGUUCAUGGACCUCAUGAACCGUGUAUGCAGACCGAUGCUGGACCGGUCUGUGAUAGUCUUUAUCGAUGAUAUCUUGGUUUAUUCCAAGACCCGGGAGGAACAUGAGGAGCAUUUGAGAGAGGUGUUAGAGACCCUGAGGAGGGAGAGCUUGUAUGCCAAGUUCUCCAAGUGUGAGUUUUGGUUGCGCGAGGUGCAAUUUCUGGGGCACCUCGUCAACCAGAACGGGAUUCUGGUCGAUCCGGCCAAGGUCGAGGCCGUGAUGAGAUGGGAGGUUCCGAAGUCUCCAUCUGAGAUUCGGAGUUUCCUGGGAUUGGCAGGCUACUAUCGGAGAUUUAUCCAGGAUUUCUCCAAGAUAGCCGUGCCCCUGACGCGGCUGACGAAGAAAGCCGUGGUCUUUCGGUGGGGACCCGAGCAGCAGGCUGCAUUUGAGACGCUGAGACAGAGAUUGUGUGAGGCGCCGAUCUUAGCCCUGCCAGAGGGCGUAGAGGAUUUUGUGGUUUAUUGUGAUGCGUCCAUUUCUGGGUUGGGCGCGGUACUGAUGCAGAGGGGGCAUGUCAUUGCCUACGCUUCGAGGCAGCUCAAGCCUCACGAGGCGAACUACCCGACGCAUGAUUUGGAGUUGGGGGCGGUGGUUUUUGCCCUCAAGAUUUGGCGGCAUUACCUCUACGGGGUUCGAUGUACCAUCUACACGGACCACAAGAGUUUGAGGUACCUCAUGGAUCAGCCGAAUCUGAACAUGAGGCAGCGUCGAUGGUUGGACGUGGUGAAGGAUUACGAUUGUGAGAUCCUUUACCACCUGGGGAACGCCAAUGUGGUGGCCGAUGCGCUUAGCCGCAAGGCGGUGCCAAUUAGGGACGUUUGUAUGAGGAUGACCGUGGUGACUCCCCUGUUGGAGCAGAUUCGGGAGGCUCAACAGGAGGCUAUCAAGGAGGAGCAUCGGAAGAGCGAGCGUGUGGUGGGUCAGGUUUCCUCCUUUGAUUAUGAUAGCCGAGGACUAUUGACACUACACCGUAGGGUGUGGGUGCCGUAUCACGGAGGCGUGCGCCAGAUUUUGAUGGAGGAGGCGCACAAGUCCCGAUUCUCUAUUCAUCCCGGGGCGACGAAGAUGUAUAGGGAUCUUCGUCUAGACUAUUGGUGGCCCUGCAUGAAGCGGGAUGUGGCAUGGUAUGUCGAGCGAUGUUUGACCUGCAGGAAGGUCAAGGCCGAACAUCAGAGACCGCAUGGCAAGAUGCAGCCGUUGGAUAUUCCACUGUGGAAAUGGGAAGAUAUCACGAUGGAUUUUAUCACGAAGCUUCCCAGGACCGCACGUGGAGUGGAUUCGAUUUGGGUCAUCGUGGAUAGAUUGACCAAGAGUGCUCACUUUAUUCCGAUUCAGGAGAGCAUAUCGGCCGAGAAAUUGGCCGACAUCUAUAUCAGGGAGAUUGUGGCACGGCAUGGGGUGCCAGUAUCGGUGAUCUCGGACAGGGAUGUGCGUUUUACUUCCAGAUUUUGGAAGAGAUUCCAUGACGAGUUGGGCACUCGUCUGCAUUUUAGCACUGCCUUUCACCCGCAGACGGAUGGGCAGAGCGAGCGGACCAUCCAGACUCUGGAGGAUAUGCUGCGGGCGUGCGUGCUAGACUUCGGUGGUAGCUGGGAUACCUAUCUUCCCCUGGCCGAGUUCUCCUACAACAACAGCUAUCACGCGAGUAUCGACCGCCCUCCCUUCGAGAUGUUGUACGGACGGAGGUGUAGGACCCCGAUAUGCUGGGGUGAAGUUGGCCAGAGGGUCAUGGGGAGCACCGAAGUGGUGCUCAAGACGACCGAGAGGAUCCAGCAGGUCCGGAGCAGGCUUCAGACUGCUCAGAGUCGGCAGAAAAGUUAUGCCGACAAGCGUCGAUCCGAUUUGGAGUUCCAAGUCGGGGAUAUGGUUCUCCUGAAGGUGUCGCCCUGGAAAGGCGUCAUUCGAUUCAGGAAGCGGGGCAAGUUGGGCCCGCGAUUCAUCGGACCGUUCAGGGUCGUAGCCCGGGUGGGCAAGGUAGCGUAUAGGUUGGAUCUUCCAGCCGAGCUCAGCCAGAUCCACAGCACUUUCCACGUUUCUCAGUUGCGAAAGUGCCUAGUGGACGAUUCUGCAGUAGGACCUUUGGAGGAUAUUAAGGUUGAUGACAACCUGAAUUACAUUGAGCGCCCAGUCGCAAUCCUCGACAGGAAGUCGAAGGAUUUGAGGAACAAGAAGGUGGAGCUAGUGAAGGUGCAAUGGCAGCACCGCAAGGGUUCGGAAUGGACUUGGGAGCCGGUGGACGAGAUGAUGGAGCAUUAUCCCGAGCUGUUUCAGGAUCGAGCAGCAGACUUCGAGGACGAAGUCUAAAAUAAGUGGGGGAGAUUUGUAGCACCCGGUUCCUGGUACGUAAAUGUUAUUUGAGUAUUUCCUUUCUUUUAGCCUUGGACUCGGCGAGUCAUAGGUCCGACUCGCCAAGUGGAUGCGGGACCCGGGACACGUUUAUGUUGGCGACUCGGCGAGUCCCUAUCCUGGACUCGGCGAGUCACAGCUGUUGGAUGAAACCCUAAGUUUCAGGGGUUUGCACCUUAUUUAAAGGACUUAUCCGCCCAGGCCAGCCCCCAUUCUCUCCCCAGAAGCUCCCAACCCUCGUUCUAAGCUUGUUCCUUGAGAGUUUGAGGCUAAUGUGUGUGUUCAUGAAGGUUUUAAGGAAGAAGGGGAAGUAUAUCAAGAGGAAGGAAAGGAAUCUAGGCAUCUUUGCACUCCUUCAGCAGUUCCUUUGAGGUAUAAUCUGUUUUUCCCCUGUCUUUAUGCUUAUUACUUUAUGUAAGUCAUUCUUGAGCCAAACCCCAAGAUAGUAUGUUCAAAUUACUUCGUAAUAGGCUGAUUGGCCCUUUGAUCUAGACAAGAUUGAGCUCCAGGAGCUCAGAUCUGUUAGCUUUAUGGCCCCAUGUUGCUUGUUCACCCUAGAUCUACCCUUUUGAGGCAUUUUGAGCCUUAAAAUCCAUAUUGGUGAAUAUCCACACGUAAAGUUGGAAACUUUACGUGUGAUUCGUGUCCUAAAAGUCCAGAUCUGUGAAUGGCAUGGACUGGAAUCGAGCAAAUCAGUGUAUUUAGUAGGUGCAUGGCAACGACUUGGCGAGUCUUUCAUAUGACUCGGCGAGUCUGUUCGCGAGUCUCUGAGUUUGUCCCUUUUUCGUAGUGUCGAGUGAGCAGUGAGUCACGGGGUGUGACUCAGUGAGUCGGAAGCUUAACUCAUCUAUGGAGGUACUCGGCGAGUCAAUGCCCUGACUCGGCGAGUUCAAGGCAAUCUCCUUAGAUCAAGAACAGACUCGGCGAGUUGUUCAUACAACUCGGCGAGUCUUAGCAUAAGUGUUCAUCGGAUGAAGAUGAACUCGACGAGUUGUUCAUACAACUCGGCGAGUAGGAUGAAGGACUUGAAUAUUGGUCAUGAAGGCGAACCCGUCGAGUCGUCGCCUAACUCGACGGGUAGGAUCGGGAUUCAGGGCAGUCGUUUGCGUAGGGACUCGGCGAGUCGGAAAGCCAACUCGGCGAGUCGAGGUCAACUGAAAGUUGACUCUGACUUUGGCUUAGGGCAAGGUCAGGGGUAAAAUGGUCAUUUUACCCAAAGGUCAGUGAGCAGUGUUUGAUUGAGUAUAUUGUGGGAAUUGCAGCCGGAGGGUUUCCGGAGCAGCAGCAGCAGUAGUAGGUGAUCAAUUCCCACACAGACCAGCAACUAUUUCGAAGUGAGUUUCCUUUCCAGUAGGAACGGGUCUAAGGCACCAAGGCCGACCCGUGUAGACGAGAUGCUAGUACUAGAGUGUCGGCCGAGCUCGUAUCUCUUGGUUUAGUCAAGUGUGAUAUUUGUGUUAAUAUGAUAGAGUUGCUUAUACUUGUUUUCUGCGUGAUACUUGUAUGUUAUGGCUUAGCGGUUGAGUGUGGGCAGGGCCCGUAUCUCUCCGAGGUUGGAGUGUGGGCUAGGCCCGUAUCUCCCAGAUAGCGAAGUGUAGGCAGGGCCCGUAUCUUCACAAGUGUGGGCGAGGCCAGUAUCUCCCGGCUAGCGAAGUGUGGGCAGGGCCCGUAUCUUCCCGAGUGUGGGCAAGGCCCGUAACUCCUAGCUGAACNUAUGUUGCAUGGUAUGGGGUAUUAUGGGGGAACUCACUAAGCUUCGUGCUUACAGUUUUCAGAUUUGGUUGCAGGUACCUCCUCAGCUAGGGGAAAGGAGCCGGCGCGGUAGCAGCAUGUCACACACACACUCUCUGGUUUCCGCAUUUACGAGAUUCUCUGGGAUUGAUACUAUGAUAUUUUGAUUAGUUGUAUGUUUUGGUUUUCAGACAUGGUUCGCUUUAUGUUAUGGUUGAUCAAACAAUGUUUUUAGUUAUUAAUAUCUUCUAAAGUAAUGUUUUUAAAACAAAAUUUUUGGUCGUGAAAAUUGGGUCGUUACAUCGUAGCUGUGAAGGUUGUUACUGGUGGUUGUUUCUUGUUCGCCCUUCGAAGCGACUUGUCCUUAGAGUUAGUCCAAGACUUUCGCUUGAUACUUGGAUUAGAAUGAUUGUUAACAAUCCCGCUAACACCUGCAUCGUUAGUGUUCAGGUGGGUCAGAAUAGCUGACACGGCAGCCGAGACUACAGCUUGAAAGGUAGCUGCAUCAAUCUGAAGAGUUGGUGUUUGGUUGAUGGGCUGAUCGUUCUUCUUGGGAGCCAUGAUGCUGUUACUGAAAAAAAUGAAUUUGUGAGCGAAAAUGGUUGAAUCUAAACAUAGCUCGUUCGCUCAUUUAAAGAAUAGAAGUAUGUUCUCUAAGGUUCGACCUACAUCCCUAUGAUGCAGUCCUAGUACGGAAUGGAAGUAUGUUCACGAAGGUUUGACCUACAUCCCUAUGAUGCAGUCCUAGCAACGAUCGGAAGUAAGUUCUUACAAUGGUCUCAAGAUGUUUGUUGUUUGAGCCUAGGUAUUGUUGGUUGGUGAAUAACAUGAUUCAACAAUUACAAGAGACUUGGAGAUGUCUCCGGAGUUAAAUGGCUAUAGUCCAAUGACUUGACUAGAGCAUGUUUCAAAUAGACUCUAAAUAAAGUCUGAUAAGAGUAUUCGAAUAAAGAACGACACCGAAGUUAGCCGACUGUCAAUAUCUUUGAUAUUCAUGACGUACAGGUUCGGGAAAAUGACCUUGUAAAAAGGUCUUACAUCAUAACCAGAGAUGAUAGUUCCUGACAGUAAAAAAAAAGACCUAACCAAAAUACUUACAGUAAAAGAUAGUUUCAUAGAAAAUGCCACAUCGGGCAUAGACAGGAACACGAUUCCUUUCUAGCAAGGAAUAUAACGUAACGCAUCUACUACUGGUGACGGUCUUCCCUCUGGUGAACUCUCAGUUCUGCCAGUUGGUGUUCCACAUCAAAGAGGUGUCUUUCGUACACUCUCUGGCGCACUCGAAGUUCUAUGACUUCGGCUCGUGAUUCAGCUAGUGCUUGCAGCAAGGUUUCAUGGUCUCUCUCAGAUCUCUCGCGAGCAUCUUCUAGACGAAUGGUGUGGAGGGUAUGCAUUCUCGCAUUGGCGACAACUUCGGUAAUAUGAUGUAAGGCUGUCCUGCCUUGAAUCUCAUUUCGGGCCACUCUGCGGACCAAGAUUGGCAAGACUCUAUCUGCUGAGCCCCCAUUGCUCAAGUCGUCUAAGCUUCGGUCGCCAUUAAAAGGCAUGGGCUAAUCUUGUCCUUGGCUCCAUGUUUCCAAGCAUUCCACUCACUCAGGGGGUCGGGCCAUGAAAAGUCGGACGAGGGUUAGGAAUCGGAAAGGGAGCUGCCUGAGGUUGGUUCUCAACCUCGGGUUCGGAGAUGGCGUCGUCUGAAAGGUCAUCAGCCUGGUGAUCAUUCAGAGGGAUUGGGUGAUCAUUAUCGGGUUCUUCUCCAAACCAUCCAGCAAAACCCGCAUUCGGAAGGAACAGGUUGUCGUGGGGAUGGAAUCCAGCCAUGUUAUCUACGCGAGAAUUUGGGGUAAGAAAAUAAUUAUUAGACGAACUAUCUAGAUAAUUAUUUAGGAAACCUUCAUUAGUUCCAUCGCUAUUUGUAAAGUGCAUACCAGUUAUAUGUAAUCAACACAGGAUAGGCCUUCGAAUAAGUGACCUUAACUCCACAUUCACAAGGAAUAAGGGUAAAGCAAAAUUUCACCGAUUCUAAGUCUAUAACAUCCUAGUUACAUAUAACUUUAGCUUAUCCACUUAGAAAUUAUCAACAUAGGAAUGAAGAUUCCAUUUUAGUUCUCAAGUAUAAAGUACUUAUAGUAACACAAAACACCCAUAUGGUAUUUCAGACUUAGGUUCUGUUAUAAUGUUCUCAUUGUGGUGAUGUUGGUAAGUUUUUAGACUUGUUGCCAUAUCACAACCAUUCCUGGGCAUGUGCUAAUCACUCUUUGGAACAACAUAGUUGAUCAGGCUAUGCCACUCCCAAGACUGACCAUACAUCCCCGAGCUUACCCAUGAUAUUCAACAAUCGUAAUACUUUUGUUCUUGUCAUUGUGACACUGAUUUUAGUAUGAAUGCAGGCACGUAUACUUUGUUAAAUAUUUUAUUAUUUAAAGGUAUAAACUCUUAGACAGAGUGUUUUAAUCCCAAUGUGUUUAUAGUUAGUAUAUCUUUUAUGGGUUGAUAUACUUAAUUCACUAUAAACAAUUCUCUGAUACCAAUCUGUCACACCCCAAAACCACGAACGGCGGAAAUGUUCAGGGUGGAGGACGUCAUGUACAGUAUCACAACAGUGUAAUAUAAUAAACAAGCAACAACAUCAUCCACCGAAUUAUAAGUAGAGCUUCAACACAUGUGUGUUCUUUCAUAAUGUACAACAAUAAAAUGAAUAAUCAAAAUAAGGCGAUUCUUGUCUGUGAUCCAUCUUCUCAAAAACCUGACCACCGCACCUAUCUAACUGAUGACCUGAGAAUACAAGUUAUUUUGAAAGCGAGUAUCAGCUUUAAAGCUGGUGAAUUCAUAAGUAUUUAUGUGAUAUUGUCAUGUUUUGGAAUGCUGUUAAGAAUGUCGUAUAAAUCCUUAAAUAGAACAGUUGAUAUAAGUAUGAAAUGCGGUCUUCUACCAAGACCCGAAUGUUUUGUUAUGACAAAGUAAAAUGAUAGGUUUUCCUUUCUAUUGACUAGUACUAAGAGUACUUAGUCUAACUCAUCGUUUAUGUGAAUAUAUCACAAAAUAAAGUAAAAUAGGAAAAUGAUAUGAUAGUCUUCUACCAAGACCCUAAUGUUCUGUUAUGAAUAAGUAGUCUUCUACCAAGACUCAAAUGUUUUGUUAUGACUAAGUAGUCUUCUACCAAGACUCGAAUGUUUUGUUAUGACUAAGUAGUCUUCUACCAAGACUCGAAUGUUCUGUAAGUAAUAUGAUAGCUUUUCCUUUCUAUUGACUAGUACUAGAGUACUUAGUCUAACUCAUCGUUUAUGUGAAAGUAUCACAAAAUAAAGUAAACAGGAAAAUAAUAAUCAUGUAAGUGUUAUUAUCUUGGGUUACCAGGACAAACACGACAUCGCCGAAGCGAAAGAUAGACCCUAUGGACAUCCGAAGAGUGUCCCCUCAUCCUCUGUAGCGGCAGCAGGGUGGAGGGAGGGUUAGUCCCCGUAUCGAUCUCUUAAUACAGAUCGUCAACCUAAUGAUCCUCCGAAGAUUCACAUCUCAUCCACUGUUGCAACAGUGGACAGAGGGAUGGUUAGUCCCGUCACUGACUACUAAAUAAGUGACAACCUUAGACAUCCGUAGACGUUCAUCGACCACUAGUGCUAAUCAGUGGGAUUCGGAAUGGUAAGUCCCGCUGAAUUAUCCCAUUGAACUGGGGUAGGAAAGAUAAUUUACAUAGU
rnacentral:lncRNA from 1 species